GCAUAGUGUUACCAUGAGCAACACAUCCUAAUUUCACUUUCUCAUUCAACAGCCACUUGAGUGGAUUCUAGAUUCUGAAAAUACGAUAUGAAUUUCAAGCGGUGCUUGUCUCCUCCUGCACCCCAAUUCUGAAUCUAGUUAGGAAGAUCUGAAAGUAAUGUAUCUAACAAGCCACUAUAAGG
rfam:Equus caballus chromosome 7, whole genome shotgun sequence.